rnacentral:rRNA from 1 species
GAUGAACGCUGGCGGCGUGCCUAAUACAUGCAAGUCGAGCGAACAGACGAGGAGCUUGCUCCUCUGACGUUAGCGGCGGACGGGUGAGUAACACGUGGAUAACCUACCUAUAAGACUGGGAUAACUUCGGGAAACCGGAGCUAGUACCGGAUAAUAUAUUGAACCGCAUGGUUCAAUAGUGAAAGACGGUUUUGCUGUCACUUAUAGAUGGAUCCGCGCCGCAUUAGCUAGUUUGGUAAGGUAACGGCUUACCAAGGCAACGAUGCGUAGCCGACCUGAGAGGGUGAUCGGCCACACUGGAACUGAGACACGGUCCAGACUCCUACGGGAGGCAGCAGUAGGGAAUCUUCCGCAAUGGGCGAAAGCCUGACGGAGCAACGCCGCGUGAGUGAUGAAGGUCUUCGGAUCGUAAAACUCUGUUAUUAGGGAAGAACAAAUGUGUAAGUAACUAUGCACGUCUUGACGGUACCUAAUCAGAAAGCCACGGCUAACUACGUG